rnacentral:misc_RNA from 1 species
GAUGAAGAACGUAGCGAAAUGCGAUACGUAAUGUGAAUUGCAAAUUCAGUGAAUCAUCGAGUCUUUGAACGCACAUUGCGCCCCCUGGUAUUCCGGGGGGCAUGCCUGUCCGAGCGUCAUUGCUGCCCUCAAGCACGGCUUGUGUGAUGGGCCCCGUCCUCCGAUCCCGGGGGACGGGCCCGAAAGGCAGCGGCGGCACCGCGUCCGGUCCUCGAGCGUAUGGGGCUUUGUCACCCGCUCUGUAGGCCCGGCCGGCGCUUGCCGAUCAACCCAAAUUUUUAUCCAGGUUGACCUCGGAUCAGGUAGGGAUACCCGCUGAACUUAAGCAUAUCAAUAAGCGGAGGA